UUCAUAUUCUCCUCCCGUGAGUGACUCACUUUCCCCAAAUCGCACACCAUGGCCUCAUCCAUCCAAGCUCGUUGAGCUGCUGCUGCCCUCCGAUUCCUCCUCCGCUCGCUCACACCGCUGCUCCCUCGUCUCGCCCGUUUAAGAAUCCGCGCGCGGACGCCGGGUACGGCGCGCCUCCGCCGUCCUGGACACCGGUUGCUGCUGGACUCCCAGGUCGCUAGGUACACGCCGCCGCGCGCGGACGCCUACCACUACGCGCCUCCGCCCCCUGGAUGUUGGUUGCUGCUCGCCUCCCCUCCCCUGGACGGCUAGGUCCCCAAGCGUACUCCGUUUCGUCGGCCGUCGACCCCGCACAAGCUCUACCUAGCGAGCGGUCCUGCUUCAGGUCAACGCACAGGCCUGCCUCCCCUCAACACCGGCCGUGCAGGCUGCACCGACAUCAGCCUGUAUCGGCGGCACCGGGGGCAGCAGGCAACUGUAGCGGAUGGGGAUUCCAAGCUAGCGGAUGGGGAUUCAGAGGAGCAGAGGGGAUACAAGAAGCAAUAAUGGAAGAUGAGUCAUUUGGUUCAAAAGGAAUAAAUCUACGAAGUGGAAGAAAAUGAGCAUGCCACUAAUCUUUUGUUCAUGCUAUGACUGGACACUUGAAUUUUUGUCGCUUGUCUGUCUAACGGGAUGUUCACAUCCCUUAUCAGUUAUUUUCCUAGGUUGCUGCCAAGAUCUUUAAUUUGCUAUUAAAUCUGGUCUCGCUUGCCCCACGUACUGCUAUCAACAUCAGAUGACAUCACAAGGAUGGUGAAGCCAUGGAACCUGAUUGAAGAUGGGAAGACUGAUUGAAGGUGGGAAGACGAUGCACGGAAAGCUUGAAGGAGAUGUGGAGCCUUAUUGAAGAUGACCAACUUCAGAUCCAAGGUCAACGUCUCCCAUCCAGUGCCUGUCACGGGGAUCACAGCCAGCCCUUUGCGAUCUGGGUCUAUAACAUGCGGGAAACAAAGUCUGUCUUUUAUAGGCAGUGAAAAGGGCGCGAGGUGAGACGCAAAAAGCAGAAUUGGCGCCAUCUGAGGUUGUUGAGGAAUAGGCGGGGGCGGAGAAAGGCAGUUGCAUCUGUAUAUGCUAAUCGCGUUUGUGGAAAAACGAGUAAUACUAGUUUUCCCACAAUCCCGGAAUUAUGGGUUUUUGGGAAACGAGUUUCCCCUAUCCACGGGGUUGUUGGAUGAGCCAAACAAGAUUUUUUACUGUUAGACAGUUUCCUUGGCUUA